UACGUAGGCAGCAAGCGUUGUUCGGAGUUACUGGGCGUAAAGGGUGCGUAGGCGGUCCUAUAAGUAUGGUGUGAAAUCCUCCCGGCUUAACUGGGAGGGUGCGCUAUAGACUGUGGGACUAGAGUGUGGGAGAGGAAAGUGGAAUUCCUGGUGUAGCGGUGAAAUGCGUAGAUAUCAGGAGGAACACCGGUGGUGUAAACGGCUUUCUGGACCAUAACUGACGCUGAGGAGCGAAAGCGUGGGGAGCGAACAGG
rnacentral:rRNA from 1 species